rnacentral:lncRNA from 1 species
GGAUGCUGUGUGGAGAAAACACUGAAAAGGGGGAGAAUAAUUGACUCCAUUCAAGUGUUCGCUCCUGUUUCAAUCAACUAUGGCUGAAGAGUGAGGAGACAUUUGGAAUAAAUAUGGCUUCUGGGGGCCCAUUCCUAUGGAUCAGCAGCUGGCUUCUGGAGGCCCAUUCCUGUGAAUCGUCGAUCUCAUAGAAGAUAAUAUUGUUAGAAGGCUUACCUCAUUGAUGCUGAACAUCCUAAAAAGCUUCUGCUGCUUUGAGUCACUGAAAAAGACCAAGAAACAUGAAUUUAAAAAAAAAUUUCAAAUGUUAUAAAAUAAAUAAUAUGAACUCAUUAUACCUACAAUGAAUAAUUUAAAUUCUUCUUUGGUAGUCCAGGUUUAGAAACUAUGAAAACCCUAGAAGAAAACCUAGGCAAUGCCAUUCAGGACAUAGGCACGGACAAAGAUUUCAUGACGAAGACGCCAAAAACAACUGCAACAAAAGCAAAAAUUGACAGAUGGGAUCUCAUUAAACUAAAGAGCUUCCAUACAGCAAAAGAAGCUACCAUGAGAGUGAACAGACAACCUAUAGAAAGGGAGAAAAAUUUUGCAAUCUGUUCAUCUGACAAAGGUCUAAUAUCCAGCAUCUACAAGGAACUUAAAUAAAUUUACAAGAAAAAAACAAACCCAUUAGAAAAUGGGCAAAGGACAUGAAAAGAUACUUCUCAAAAGACAUACAUGUGGCCAACAAUCAUACAAAAAAAACCUCAACAUCACUGAUGAUUAGAAAAAUGCUAAUCAAAACCACAACGAGAUACCAUCUCAUACCUGUCAGAAUGGCUAUUAAUAAAAAGUUAAAAAACAA